CAAAGGUGGUGGAAUCACUUGGUGUUACUGCUGAAAUCACACCAUAGAAUCACAGAACUGUUGACUGGAGGGACCAUUUUUGGACACAUGCUAUAACCAUUGGUUGCCCUACAGGCUAUGGGAAGAUUACUGACGGCUCAUUGACAAGAACUGGAAUAUGCAACCUGCAUACAAGGACGUUUUGAUAUCUUUGUCCUGGUGAAGUGAGGAGUCUGGAAUUAAACUACAUGUAAUACACACCAGGGCAUAGGACAGCACUCAGUCUUGUGUGUUGGUGCUCACCGCACCUUACCAUUUAAAGGAUCUCCCUGCUCAGCACUGUGAAAAGACCCACAUCAGCCUGCUGGGCAGACAUUU
rnacentral:lncRNA from 1 species